rnacentral:lncRNA from 1 species
AAAUGCCAACAGACCCAACAAAACCCAACAGAUUAAAAAAAGAACAACAAAACCCAACAGAAUAAAAAAGCCCAACAGACACAACAAAACCCAACAGAUUAAAAAAAAAACUCAACAGAUUAAAAAAGACCCAACAGAUUAAAAAAGCCCAACAGACCCAACAAAACCCAACAGAUUAAAAAAGCCAACAGAUUAAAGAUUAAAAAAAGCCAACAGACCCAACAGAUUAAAAAAACGCAACAAAACCCAACAGAUUAAAAAAACGCAACAAAACCCAACAGAUUAAAAAACCCAACAGCACAACAGACCCAACAGAUUAAAAAACCCCAACAGAUUAAAAAACCCAACAGCACAACAGACCCAACAAAACCCAACAGAUUAAAAACCCCCAACAGAUUAAAAAGCCCAACAGACCCAACAAAACCCAACAGAUAAAAAAAAACCCAACGCACAACAGACACAACAAGACCCAACAGAUUAAAAACAAAGCCAACUGACCCAACAAAAUCCAACUGAUUCAAAAACCCAACAGCACAGGAAAACCGAACACACUCUCCAGGCUAUUUUCAUGUUGCGCGCAAUGCUA